rnacentral:rRNA from 1 species
AAAAGAAACCAACAGGGAUUGCCUCAGUAACGGCGAGUGAAGCGGCAAAAGCUCAAAUUUGAAAUCUAGCACUUUCAGUGUUCGAGUUGUAAUUUGAAGAAGGUAACUUUGGUUUUGGCUCUUGUCUAUGUUCCUUGGAACAGGACGUCACAGAGGGUGAGAAUCCCGUGCGAUGAGAUGCCCAAUUCCAUGUAAAGUGCUUUCGAAGAGUCGAGUUGUUUGGGAAUGCAGCUCUAAGUGGGUGGUAAAUUCCAUCUAAAGCUAAAUAUUGGCGAGAGACCGAUAGCGAACAAGUACAGUGAUGGAAAGAUGAAAAGAACUUUGAAAAGAGAGUGAAAAAGUACGUGAAAUUGUUGAAAGGGAAGGGCUUGAGAUCAGACUUGGUAUUUUGCGUUCCCUUCCUUUUUGGUUGGGUUCCUCGCAGUUUACUGGGCCAGCAUCGGUUUGGAUGGUAGGAUAAUGACAUUGGAAUGUAGCUUUACUUCGGUGAAGUGUUAUAGACUUUGUUGAUACUGCCUAUCUAGACCGAGGACUGCGUCUUUGACUAGGAUGCUGGCGUAAUGAUCUUAAGCCGCCCGUC